UACGUAGGGGGCAAGCGUUGUCCGGAGUCAUUGGGCGUAAAGAGCGUGUAGGCGGCCCAGUAAGUCCGCUCUGAAAGCCCGGGGCUUAACCCCGGGAGGCGGGUGGAUACUGCUGGGCUCGAGUCCGGAAGAGGCGAGUGGAAUUCCCGGUGUAGCGGUGAAAUGCGCAGAUAUCGGGAGGAACACCAAUGGCGAAGGCAGCUCGCUGGGACGUGACUGACGCUGAGACGCGAAAGCGUGGGGAGCAAACAGG
rnacentral:rRNA from 1 species